rnacentral:rRNA from 1 species
GAUGAACGCUCGCUACAGGCUUAACACAUGCAAGUCGAGGGGAAACGCCAUCGAAAGCUUGCUUUUGAUGGGCGUCGACCGGCGCACGGGUGAGUAACGCGUAUCCAACCUGCCCACCACUUGGGGAUAACCUUGCGAAAGUAAGACUAAUACCCAAUGACGUCUCUAGAAGACAUCUGAAAGAGAUUAAAGAUUUAUCGGUGAUGGAUGGGGAUGCGUCUGAUUAGCUUGUUGGCGGGGUAACGGCCCACCAAGGCGACGAUCAGUAGGGGUUCUGAGAGGAAGGUCCCCCACAUUGGAACUGAGACACGGUCCAAACGCCUACGGGAGGCAGCAGUGAGGAAUAUUGGUCAAUGGACGAGAGUCUGAACCAGCCAAGUAGCGUGCAGGAGGACGGCCCUAUGGGUUGUAAACUGCUUUUAUAAGGGAAUAAAGUGAGUCUCGUGAGACUUUUUGCAUGUACCUUAUGAAUAAGGACCGGCUAAGUCCGUG